rnacentral:rRNA from 1 species
AUGCGUAGGGAGCGAGCGUUGUCCGGAAUUACUGGGCGUAAAGGGCGCGUAGGCGGCGCUUCAAGUCGUCUGUCAAAUGGGAGGGCUUAACCCUUUUUCGCAGACGAAACUGGAGAGCUUGAGAAGCAGAGAGGCAAACAGAAUUCCUGGUGUAGCGGUGAAAUGCGUAGAUAUCAGGAAGAAUACCAGUGGCGAAGGCGGUUUGCUGGCUGCAUACUGACGCUGAAGCGCGAAAGCCAGGGGAGCAAACGGGAUUAGAUACCCCGGUAGUCCUGGCAGUAAACGAUGUAUGCUGGGUGUGAGACUAGCGAUAGUUUCGUGCCGAAGUUAACGCGAUAAGCAUACCGCCUGGGGAGUACGGUCGCAAGAUUGAAACUCAAAGGAAUUGACGGGG